rnacentral:rRNA from 1 species
GAUGAACGCUAGCUACAGGCUUAACACAUGCAAGUCGAGGGACCGGCGCACGGGUGAGUAACACGUAUCCAACCUGCCCUUUACUCGGGGAUAGCCUUUCGAAAGAAAGAUUAAUACCCGAUAUAAAGGAUGGGGAUGCGUUCCAUUAGGUUGUUGGUGAGGUAACGGCCCACCAAGCCUUCGAUGGAUAGGGGUACUGAGAGGAAGGCCCCCCACAAUGGAACUGAGGCACGGUCCAAACCCCUACGGAGGGCAGCAGUGAGGGAUAUUGGGCGAUGGGCGUUAGCCUGAACCAGCCAAGUAGCGUGAAGGAUGAAGGGUUAUGGGUCGUAAACUUCUUUUAUAUAAGAAUAUGUAUUAUAUGAAUAAGGAUCGGCUAACUCCGUGCCAGCAGCCGCGGUAAUUC